rnacentral:tRNA from 1 species
GCUUGGGUGGCUCAGUUGGUUAAGCGUCAGACUUCAGUUCAGGUCAUAAUCUCACAGUUCUCAGGUUCAAAUCCUGCCUUGGGCU